CCUUGUGGAGAAGGACGCCGAAGGUGGGGCUGAUGACUGGGGUGAAGUCGUAACAAGGUAGCCGUACCGGAAGGUGCGGCUGGAUCACCUCCUAACAGGGAGACAAUAAAUUGAUUGUGAUGUCUAAGUUAUUUAUUCUUAGGCCGCAAUCCUGUCACCUUAAGGUCGAUCGGUACCUCAGAUUUUUGAAUUAGUUUUAUAAUUGAUUCUUUGAUUUCAGUUCCUAAACUUGUCUAGGUCACACCCAACAAAGGUUUCUCCUGGGCCAUUAGCUCAGGUGGUUAGAGCGCACCCCUGAUAAGGGUGAGGUCCCUGGUUCAAGUCCAGGAUGGCCCAUUCGUUGUUGGGGGUAUAGCUCAGUUGGUAGAGCGCCUGCUUUGCAAGCAGGAUGUCAGCGGUUCGAGUCCGCUUACCUCCACUGAAAACUAUCCUGAUAACUAAAUUUCUGGAGAAAAAGAUUGUAGAUGUGGCUUAGAUUUGUCUAUUUGAAAAGAACCUAGCUUCUUGUCAUCUUUUUAUAGUUGAUAAAAUGCUGGGCUCGCAUGGAUUAUUUCCAUGAGAAUUCAGUAGAACCUUGAAAACUGCAUAGAUUAGAAAGAAUAAAGCAUCUCAUGGAUGCAUAGUUCUGUUUUGAUAAUUUAGCCUUAAAACUAAAUUAUUUAAUUCUAGAAUUCAUGUUUAAUUCUUGAGUAAUAGCCGAGCACAAUUGAUUUUGUGAUUGUAUUUAAGGUCAAGCUACAAAGGGCUCA
rnacentral:misc_RNA from 1 species